UACAGAGGGUGCGAGCGUUAAUCGGAAUUACUGGGCGUAAAGCGAGCGUAGUCGGUUAUUUAAGUCGGGUGUGAAAUCCCCGGGCUCAACCUGGGAAUUGACAUUCGGAUACUGGAUAGCUAGAGUUCGGCAGAGGGAAGCGGAAUUUCCGGUGUAGCGGUGAAAUGCGUAGAUAUCGGAAGGAACAUCAGUGGCGAAAGCGGCUUCCUGGACCAGAACUGACGAUCAGGCUCGAAAGCGUGGGGAGCAAACAGG
rnacentral:rRNA from 1 species